rnacentral:sRNA from 1 species
GCUAAAUGCUUGUUUCGAAGUGGUUUCCUGUUGCUUUUAUCCCAUUGUUUCCACGGUCUUGUUUUUCAUCCUGUCCUCUGGGGAUUUAGUAGGAUUGCCCCAUGGUCCGGUGAAAGGAACCCAGCCACCAAGCGGGGGAAAAACCUCACCUGUUUACUUUCCCCAGCCUGUUAUUUGGCCUUCCUCUAGGUAAGUUUUCCCACAGGCUACACCUCCUUCCCCCCUGAGGGAGGGUUUGUUUUUGUUUUUCUGUUUGUUUGUUUUUUUUAAAUAGUUGCCACUUUGUGUGAAAAUUUUAUAUUUGUCUUCACAUGUCCAUUAAUCAAAUUUUGCUGCUGCUUGUAUUCCUCACCUGUUUGUAGGAACCACCAAUCCAACUGGCACUGUUCUGGCAUUCAAAAAUAAAUCCAUGCAGUGUAAAGAGAGCUAGAAAGAGAGAUGGGCAUUUUCUGCAUGCUUAUCUUAAAGUCAGUAAUUAUUUCUCAGCGCAAAGGAGAACCGUGGUUGACAGACAUUCAAUACAGUUGCUUGUGUAAGCAAUUAAAAAUAUCUAUACUAUUUAAUUAGUGACAACUAAGCUUUCUUUAAAAAACAAAACAGCUUUCUCCAAGGUGUUGUGACACAAGCCUGUAAUUCUAGCCCCUUAAGAGGAUAAAGCCUGAAGACAGCAUUCAAGAUGACCCUGAGCUAGGAAGAGAGCUCUAGUGUUUUGCUUGCAGGUAUGUCUGUGCACCAUGCUCAUGCAGUGACCACAGAGGUCAGAGGAAGCCAUCAAAUCCCAUGGGACUGGAAGUAGAGAGUGUGUGAGCCACCACACCAUGUGGGUGCUGGGAACUGAGCCUGUUGAGCCAUCUCGCCAGCCGCCUUCAGCGAUGUUUUGGAGAUCUAGAAAUGGGACUUUGACCAGAGGAGAUGGCUCAGUGGGUAAAGUGCUUGCCUCGAAAGCACAAGUUCAACUGGGAUAGUGUCACCUGUCGUCCCAGGACCCAGGAGAUGUUAUUUACUUUGACGUUAUCUGAGGUCCACAUAAAUUGUUUAACUGUGCAGCAGCAGCCUGUGAGUUGAGAGCUAGGUGACCGCACUUGACCUUCUUACUGGAGAAGACCUCCUUUGAUGUCACUCAGUGUUUCCAGCCUCCCACAGUUACCAAUCAGUGGGUAAACAUUGAGGACAUAUGAACAUGGGAAGAAGGUCAGAGACACCUUGUGGGAGCCGGACACGUUUCCUAGCAUGCAUGAUCUGGAUGUUUGAACUCAGGCCCUCGGCCGUGGCCACAAGCACCUUCACCAAAUGGUUCAUCUCACCACCCCUGGAGGGUGAAGUGAACUCAUGUCAGUAGCUCUGGGCAACAAGUACUUUUACCCAGGAGCCAUUUCAAUGAUUCAGAUCUUUUAAAAUGAACCAUUGCCCAUGCUCUUGGUAAGUUUAUUCCAAAUAAAAGCUGCUGUUACACACUGGAAAGGCUCUGUGUUUAAAGGUGCUUGCUGCUCUUCUAGAGGAUCCAAGCACCCAGUUCAAGCAGCUCACACUCAUCUGUAAACUCCAGCUCCAGAGGGUCUGAUAUCUAAUGCUGCUCUCUGAGGGAUCCAAUACCCACGUAACACACAGACACACAAAAAUAAGAACAAAAAUAAAUCUUUUUUAAAAACUCUGUAGCUAAAAGUACUUACUAACUUCUUCCCCAAAGUCCCUGUUUGUCAAGCAGGAAACAGAGAAUGGGCACUAGGCAUGUGGAGCAGGAACCUGAACCCCUGGGACUGCCCAUUGGAAAGAAAAGGCUCUCGGAAUGCAACUGGAAGCUCGGUGGUAGACCACUGGCUUGGCGUGUGUGGGUCCCAGUUUCAUCUCUGGCACGGAAAAAAACAAAACAAACAAAACAAACAAAAGCAUUAUAAUACAAUCAGCCUUUGGACGUGGGCCCAGACUUGUUUUUCCCCAAAACCUCCAUGGUUGAUUUUAUUAUGUGGCCUGAAUUGGGAACCCCUGAUUUUAGUCAUCAGAAGUAACUAACUCCUAACUCCUAUUGGUGCCUGCAGAGAACCCAGUCAGGGUGAGGAGUAUUUUCCAGGUCCUAGUAUACAUGUGAUUUUAUUAUUGCUAAUCUAUGGAUAACUCCAAUCUCCUGAAGUUGUCAUCAGGGGAUUAACUUUAUGAAUUAUGGCUACCAACAUCAGUCUUGGAUCAAUGUAUUAACAGGGCUGGGACCACAUGCACAAUGGUCUCUGAGGCCAGGACAGUUAUGCUAAUGAAGUGAGCAAGUAAGUUAUGUGCAAUGGUACACACAUGUAAUCCCUGCCCUUGACAGGUGGAGGCAGGAUAAUCAGGAGUUCAAGAUCACAGGAGCUGGAUAGAUGGUUCAGUGGUUCAUUGCAAAGACCCCAGGUUUAAUCCCAGCAUCUGUAACUCCAGUUCCAGCAGGCCUUCCUCUUCUGGUUUCUGACUGAACUUCGUGCACAUGGCUCAUAGACAUAUGCAAAUCUUAAACUGCAUCCUGCAGCUUAAAAAAUUUAAAAACAAAAGCAAAAGAAAGCAACCAUCGGCAAAACAAAACAAAACAAAAAAAACAAACAAUGAACAAAAACCACAGUGGAAUGAUCCCAGAGAGAAAGUUGAAUACCUAACCCUAUGCUAUAGACUAUUUGUGAUACUCCACCCCCAUGACCACCAUAUUGAAAAUCUCAUUCUCAAGUGUUAGCGUUUGGAAAUGGACCUUAAGUAGUUGGUAUGGCUUGGAUUUUGGAGGAUUUUCAAAGGCCUGUGUGUUAAGAAGUGCUGGAACUGCUAACAGGUGAGGUGUCAGCGCUGGACAUAGGCCCUGGCUUUGAUCCUAGCUGAGGAGUGAGAUCAGAAGAACUGGACCUAACGGGAGCUCUUAGGCCAUCGAGGCCUGUCCUUGGAGAAGAUUGUGAGCACCAGACUCUACUCUUUUCUUACGGUCCUGGAUGUGAGUGGUGGAUUUUUUGUCACACUUAGCAUGGUAUAUAUGCCUUAUCACAGUCCCAAAGCAACAGUGCCAACAUGGAUGGAAACUCCAAACCUGGGCGCCAAGACAACCUUUUCUUCUCAUAAGCUGACGCCUCAAGUGUUUGUUGUAAUAGUGGAAAACUGACUAAUAAUGGAAGAUGAUACAUCUCCUAGAUGAGCAAUUGAUGAUACUCUGCUAUCUGCCUGCCCCCUUCUUCCGUCCGAAUUGAGCCAGGGCUUUGUGUGUUACAGGAUAGGCAAGCACUCCUCGGGUGAACUAUGUAUACCCUCAACCCUGUUACUUGCUUUGGUGUGGUUUGCUAGAUAAGAAUGGUUUUUACACUGCGGGUGGUUUCUGUGGAAUAAGAAGAAUAAUGUUUUCGUUGCCUGAAAAUUAUAUGAACUUCUAAUUUAUGUUCAUACAUAAAGUCUUACUAGAACAUAGCCGCACACAUUCAUUUACAUCUUGCC